CCUACGGGAGGCAGCAGUAGGGAAUCUUCGGCAAUGGGGGCAACCCUGACCGAGCAACGCCGCGUGAGUGAAGAAGGUUUUCGGAUCGUAAAGCUCUGUUGUAAGAGAAGAACGAGUGUGAGAGUGGAAAGUUCACACUGUGACGGUAACUUACCAGAAAGGGACGGCUAACUACGUGCCAGCAGCCGCGGUGC
rnacentral:rRNA from 1 species